rnacentral:rRNA from 1 species
UACGUAGGGGGCAAGCGUUGUCCGGAUUUAUUGGGCGUAAAGAGCGUGUAGGCGGUUCGGUAGGUCCGUUGUGAAAACUCGAGGCUCAACCUCGAGACGCCGAUGGAAACCAUCGAACUAGAGUCCGGAAGAGGAGAGUGGAAUUCCUGGUGUAGCGGUGAAAUGCGCAGAUAUCAGGAAGAACACCCGUGGCUAAGGCGGCUCUCUAGUACGGUACUGACGCUGAGACGCGAAAGCGUGGGGAGCGAACAG